ensembl:misc_RNA
CUUGGUAAUAGAAAAGGGUUUUUCAUUUCCCAUUUUUUGAAAGCCAUCUUCCUCUGGAUUUCUGGGCGAG